UGCCUCUAUCACGACAGUUCAGAAAUAAUGUCUGGCUCCUCCUUGUGUUUCACAGAACUCGUACCUGAGCGAUGCUGUACCAGCGUUUGCGCCAGCAUCUUAUCGUAGGAACAGAGCUGGAAUCCAAUAUGUUUUGAGACAUGAGCAUCGUCACUGAUGAUCUUCAGACCGUAGCAUACUGAUGCAUUCAAAUAUGUUAUACAUAGAGGUGAACCUGUAUUUCUGUUCUGUGUCAGGAACUUGUCAGACAGUUUUUCCAACAGAGCGGGAAAGCGCUUCAGUAAGCGUGCUUUGAUUGUUUACUCUCUCCAAACCACCAGAGAGCUGAAAGUGUGAAAGUGAAUCUGUGAUCUGUGCCGGUUUGUGAAGGGCAUAAAAGCUUUUAUUAACCUAGAGCUGUGGUCAUGACUUUACUGAGAGACUUCUCAGCGCUUAGGAUGGCCACAGCUCCACAAUGACAAAAACAUCUGCUCGUAAAAAAUGGCAUGGUCAUGUUUAAACUCAGCAGAUGUAACGUUCUCGGCUGAUCGCUGAGCGAGCAGGGCAUCACGACCCUGAGUUUGUCCUUUCGCUGAAUUGUCUGACGUUUUGCACAAAAUCAAGGUCACUCUUAACAAGAGGGCAAAUGAAAUUGACCCUUCUGCACUGUAGAAAUGAAACAAUAAGCCCUCGGUGAAGAUUGAACCUCAGACUGUGCCUCUACGACGGUUUGGUGUUCUUCAUUAUUUGCAGUGAGAUUAAACGCAGUAUUGUUGCAGUUAUCCUGAGUGUGCUCCUUAAACAACAGGGCA